rnacentral:rRNA from 1 species
UGAGCAAUCUGCCCAUCUCUUUGGAAUAAGCGUUGGAAACGACGUCUAAUGCCGAAUACGACCUCCUUUCGCAUGAUCGGAGGUGGAAAGCUCCGGCGGAGAAGGAUGAGCUCGCGGCCUAUCAGCUUGUUGGUGGGGUAAUGGCCUACCAAGGCGACGACGGGUAGCCGGCCUGAGAGGGUGUCCGGCCACACUGGGACUGAGAUACGGCCCAGACUCCGUACGGGAGNAGCG